GACGAACGCUGGCGGCGUGCUUAACACAUGCAAGUCGAACGGAAAGGCCCUGCUUGCCGGGUACUCGAGUGGCGAACGGGUGAGUAACACGUGGGUGAUCUGCCCUGCACUUCGGGAUAAGCUUGGGAAACUGGGUCUAAUACCGGAUAGGAACCAUCUUUAGUGUGGUGGUUGGAAAGUUUUUUCGGUGUAGGAUGAGCUCGCGGCCUAUCAGCUUGUUGGUGGGGUAAUGGCCUACCAAGGCGGCGACGGGUAGCCGGCCUGAGAGGGUGUACGGCCACAUUGGGACUGAGAUACGGCCCAGACUCCUACGGGAGGCAGCAGGGGGGAAUAUUGCACAAUGGGCGCAAGCCUGAUGCAGCGACGCCGCGUGGGGGAUGAAGGCCUUCGGGUUGUAAACUCCUUUCGCUAGGGACGAAGCGUUGUUGUGACGGUACCUAGAGAAGAAGCACCGGCUAACUACGUG
rnacentral:rRNA from 1 species